rnacentral:rRNA from 1 species
GCGUGGCGGGGUCUACCAUGCAGUCGCACGAGAACGUUUCAGCUUGCUGAGACUAGUAAAGUGGCGCACGGGUGAGUAACGCGUGGGUAAUCUACCUCCGAAUUGGGGAUAACAUUGCGAAAGCGGUGCUAAUACCGAAUAUUAUCCCUAGGACCCCGGUCUUGGAGAUCAAAGGUGGCCUCUACAUGUAAGCUACCGUUUGGAGAUGAGCCCGCGUACCAUUAGCUUGUUGGUAGGGUAACGGCCUACCAAGGCUUCGAUGGUUAGCUGGUCUGAGAGGAUGAUCAGCCACACUGGAACUGACACACGGUCCAGACUCCUACGGGAGGCAGCAGUGAGGAAUUUUGCGCAAUGGGGGAAACCCUGACGCAGCAACGCCGCGUGAGUGAUGAAGGCCUUCGGGUCGUAAAGCUCUGUCAAGUGGGAAGAAACUGCCUUGUGAUAAUACCAUGGGGCAUUGACGGUACCACUGAAGGAAGCACCGGCUAACUCCGUGCCAGCAGCCGCGGUAAUACGGGGGGUGCAAGCGUUAUUCGGAAUCAUUGGGCGUAAAGGGCGCGUAGGCGGUUGCUUAAGUUAGAUGUGAAAGCCCUUGGCUUAACUGAGGAAGUGCAUUUGAUACUAAGCAACUUGAGUAUGGGAGAGGGAAGCGGAAUUCCUAGUGUAGCGGUGAAAUGCGUAGAUAUCAGGAGGAACACCGGUGGCGAAGGCGGCUUCCUGGACCAAUACUGACGCUGAGGCGCGAAGGCGUGGGGAGCAAACAGGAUUAGAUACCCUGGUAGUCCACGCAGUAAACGGUGAACACUAUGUGUAGCGGGUAUUGACCCCUGCUGUGCCGAAGCUAACGCAUUAAGUGUUCCGCCUGGGGAGUACGGCCGCAAGGUUAAAACUCAAAGGAAUUGACGG